rfam:SAR92 bacterium BACL16 MAG-120619-bin48 contig00011.0_to_5_1_120619-bin48, whole genome shotgun sequence.
GCGAAAGUGGCGGAAUUGGUAGACGCACUGGAUUUAGGUUCCAGCGCCGCAAGGUGUGGGGGUUCGAGUCCCCCCUUUCGCA